AUUGAACGCUGGCGGCAGGCUUAACACAUGCAAGUCGAGCGAGCGGCGGACGGGUGCGUAAUGUCUGGGAACAUGCCUGAUGGAGGGGGAUAACUACUGGAAACGGUAGAUAAUACCGCAUACCAUCAGAUGUGCCCAGAUGUGAUUAGCUAGCAGGUGGGGUAAAGGCUCACCUAGGAGACGAUCCCUAGCCGGUCUGAGAGGAUGACCCGCCACCCUGGAACUGAGACACGGUCCAGACUCCUACGGGAGGCAGCAGUGGCGAAUAUUGCGCAAUGGGCUCAAGCCUGAUGCAGCCAUGCCGCGUGUAUGAAGAAGGCCUUCGGUUUGUAAAGUACUUUCAGUCGGGAGGCGUUACCGACAGAAGAAGCACCGGCUAACUCCGUGCCAGCAGCCGCGGUAAUUC
rnacentral:rRNA from 1 species